rnacentral:pre_miRNA from 14 species
UGUGUGUGUGUGUGUGUGUGUGUGUGUGUGUGUGUGCUCUUCAGACUCAUUUACUAAAAGUUCACUUCAGCCUUUAUGAGUCAGCAACAUGAUGAAAUAUAUAACAACACAUCUACACACACACACACACACACACACACACACA